UGUGUUCUUUAUUGUAACUUUUUAAUGUAUAAAAAAGCAUGUCAUGGUCAAAAAGGAGCCCAGAGUGACAGUUUUCCUUGACGGUCGCCGUUCUGUUUGCUGUAACUGAUCUGCAACAUUUCAGGAAAAGACAAUU